rnacentral:rRNA from 1 species
AACGAACGCUGGCGGCAUGCCUAACACAUGCAAGUCGAACGAGACCUUCGGGUCUAGUGGCGCACGGGUGCGGAACGCGUGGGAACCUGCCCGUAGGUUCGGAAUAACUCCCCGAAAGGGGUGCUAAUACCGGAUAAUGUCUUCGGACCAAAGAUUUAUCGCCCUUGGAUGGGCCCGCGUUGGAUUAGCUAGUUGGGAGGGUAAAAGCCUACCAAGGCGACGAUCCAUAGCUGGUCUGAGAGGAUGAUCCGCCACACUGGGACUGGGACACGGCCCAGACUCCUACGGGAGGCAGCAGUGGGGAAUAUUGGACAAUGGGCGAAAGCCUGAUCCAGCAAUGCCGCGUGAGUGAUGAAGGCCUUAGGGUUGUAAAGCUCUUUUACCCGGGAUGAUAAUGACAGUACCGGGAGAAUAAGCUCCGGCUAACUCCGUG